rnacentral:rRNA from 1 species
UACGUAGGGGGCAAGCGUUGUCCGGAUUUAUUGGGCGUAAAGAGCUCGUAGGCGGCUCGGUAAGUCGGACGUGAAAUCCCCAGGCUCAACCUGGGAACUGCGUCCGAUACUGGAUGGCUUGAAUUCGGGAGAGGGAUGCAGAAUUCCAGGUGUAGCGGUGAAAUGCGUAGAUAUCUGGAGGAAUACCGGUGGCGAAGGCGGCAUCCUGGACCGACAUUGACGCUGAGGAGCGAAAGCUAGGGGAGCAAACGGG